rnacentral:rRNA from 1 species
GACGAACGCUGGCGGCGUGCCUAAUACAUGCAAGUUGAGCGAUGAAGAUUGGUGCUUGCACCAAUUUGAAGAGCAGCGAACGGGUGAGUAACGCGUGGGGAAUCUGCCUUUGAGCGGGGGACAACAUUUGGAAACGAAUGCUAAUACCGCAUAACAACUUUAAACAUAAGUUUUAAGUUUGAAAGAUGCAAUUGCAUCACUCAAAGAUGAUCCCGCGUUGUAUUAGCUAGUUGGUGAGGUAAAGGCUCACCAAGGCGAUGAUACAUAGCCGACCUGAGAGGGUGAUCGGCCACAUUGGGACUGAGACACGGCCCAAACUCCUACGGGAGGCAGCAGUAGGGGAUCUUCGGCAAUGGACGAAAGUCUGACCGAGCAACGCCGCGUGAGUGAAGAAGGUUUUCGGAUCGUAAAACUCUGUUGGUAGAGAAGAACGUGGGUGAGAGUGGAAAGCACAUGAAGUGACGGUAACUACCCAGAAAGGGACGGCUAACUACGUG